rnacentral:lncRNA from 1 species
AAGAGAGUUGAGAAAAAGAAAAUAUUCUAAGUCUUUAACUAUAUUCACUAUACAAAGAGAGUUUUAAGGUGUUCUUAUGAUGGAGUUUUGAACUAUUCAACUAAUCCGGAGUCGCUUGAGUUGUACAUUGUUGAUGGGUUGUUGUAUCCUGGAUGGGACAAGUCAAGAGAUAUACAGCUGGAUCAAUGUAGAUUAUGCGACAGUGAGCUUGAAUCUCCUUAAAGAGAAUGGGAUAUCCGCG